rnacentral:lncRNA from 1 species
GGAUGCUGUAUGUUUGUUGGUUUUGCCCCUUGCCAUUUGGGAAUCUAAUGAAUAGCAUGAAAAGGCAUAGUCUUUGCAAAAAUGGUCUGGAAAAGUUUCAAAACAAAUGUUUAACUAUAACCUUCAACAACAACAAAGAGUAAGAAAGAAAGAGACAAAAGAGAAAACUAGAAAAUUUUAACAAAUUUUAUUUUCAGAGUACUGCAUUGAAAUAAUCAAAUACCCAAUUAAAAAAUCACAAGGCAUUCAAAGAAGCAGGACCAUAUGGUUCAUUCAAAGGAAUAUUAAAUGAUGGAAGCUGUCCUUGAAGAAACCUUGACAUCAGAAUCACUAUACAACCACUCUAAAACUAUAGUCUUAAUAUGCUUAAAGAGCUAAAAGAAAACAUAGGCAAAGAACUAAAUUAAAUCAGGAAAAAUAAUAUAUGAACACAAUGAAACUAUCAAUAAAGAUAUUGUUGAUCUUUACAAAAAUUACAAAAAUAGAAUCAAACAAAUUCUGGAGUUGAAAAGUGCAAUGACUAAAAUGAAAAUUCACCAGAAGACUGCAACAAGAGAGUAAAGAAGGCAGAAGAAAGAAUAGUAAACCAGAAGAUUAGAUAAACCAAAGUGUUGAAUCUAAGAAAUAGGACAAAAAUGAAAAGUAAACAGCAUAAGAAACUUUUGGAACAUCAUUUAAUGGACCAAUUUAUGCAUUAAGGAACUUACAAAAGAUAAAAGUAAUGGUCCAAGAAUUAUUUGGAAAAAUAAUGGUUUAACACUUUUCAAAUGUGAAGAAAGACAUGAGUCUUCAAAUCCAAAAACUUUAAGAAGGAUCACCCAAGAGACUCAUAUGAAGACCCAUUGUGAGCAAGUGUCAAAAGAAAAAGACAAAAAGAAUCUCAAAAGUAGCAAGGGAAAAAUAACUUGUCACAUAUAUGGGAUCUUCAGUCAAAUUAUCAACUGAUUUUUCAUAAGAAGCCAUGGAGGGCAAAAUGUAAUUCUAUGGUAUUUAUUAAAUGGUCAAAGAAGAAAACUGUCAAAUGAGAAUUCUAAAUCUGGCAAAGCAUAGAAGAAAAUAAUUCUGUCUACAUAACCAGGUUAAUUGUACUGAAGCAGGGCUUUGAAAAUAUUGUUAUCCUAUUUAUGAUGUUUCAAUGGUUCUCCAUUGCCUACAAGCAAAAUGGCGGUCUGUCUGUGUCCCUGUGGUUUGGCCAAGGCCUUCAUCCACCUCAGCCACUCACCUUUAUCUGAAACAGUGGAUUCUGAGCAAGGCUGAGGAAAGGCAAACUUUGAUGCUUAGCCACCUGAUGCUUUACUAUGAGCUCUAACUGGGUAAUAUUUCUUCUCACUGGACUCUGACUCUUUUUACUAAAGUGGUCUUUCCUCAAAAUACUAUAGAAGUAUUUUUGUGAACUGUGCUCAAAGACAGAUUCUAAACCCAAUAUUUUGGAAAAACUUUAGGGUGGCCUCCAUAGUGCCU